rnacentral:rRNA from 1 species
GUAGGUGGCAAGCGUUGUCCGGAAUUAUUGGGCGUAAAGCGCGCGCAGGUGGGUUCUUUAAGUCUGAUGUGAAAGCCCCCGGGCUCAACCGGGGAGGGUCAUUGGAAACUGGGGAACUUGAGUGCAGGAGAGGAAAGUGGAAUUCCACGUGUAGCGGUGAAAUGCGUAGAUAUGUGGAGGAACACCAGUGGCGAAGGCGACUUUCUGGCCUGUAACUGACACUGAGGCGCGAAAGCGUGGGGAGCAAACGGGAUUAGAUACCCUGGUAGUCCACGCCGUAAACGAUGAGUGCUAAGUGUUGGGGGGUUUCCGCCCCUCAGUGCUGCAGCUAACGCAUUAAGCACUCCGCCUGGGGAGUACGGUCGCAAAGACUG